UGGGAACCUUCCCUAUGGUUCGGAAUAGCUCAGGGUAACUUGGGGUAAUACCGGAUAAGCCCUUCGGGGGAAAGAUUUAUCGCCAUUGGAUGGGCCCGCGUCGGAUUAGCUAGUUGGUGAGGUAACGGCUCACCAAGGCAACGAUCCGUAGCUGGUCUGAGAGGAUGAUCAGCCACACUGGGACUGAGACACGGCCCAGACUCCGUACGGGAGCAG
rnacentral:rRNA from 1 species